GGGUGCGAUCAUACCAGCACUAAUGCACCGGAUCCCAUCAGAACUCCGCAGUUAAGCGUGCUUGGGCGAGAGUAGUACUAGGAUGUGGGUGACCCCCUGGGAAGUCCUCGUGUUGCACCCC